rnacentral:lncRNA from 1 species
AAGCAAUCUUUGAAUCCUGCACGGAAACACUGAAGCUUCUCCCACCCACAAGCAUCUCAGGCUCCUCACUCAAGCUGACUUCAGAUCUCAUGUCUCCCUCCUCCUGCCCUUUUGGUGGUGGCCGCUGUGUGCCAUGGCCAGAUAUCCAGUGGAGGCCCCUCAUCACAGCUGUGGCAGAUGUGAACUGCGUGUCCCUGCCUUAGGUGCAGCCUGCGUGGGGUUCCCCACCACGGUCUAAAGCCUCUGAGGUGCUCCCUGCAUUCCUGCAGGUAGGCUGAGUUUCUUGAAGAAAUGGGGAAUGUGCUUCUUUCCCCCAGCUCCGUCAUCUGGAUUCUAAAGCAGCCCACUUGGACCCAGCCCAGACCAACCC